AUGAACGCUGGCGGCGUGCCUAAUACAUGCAAGUCGAGCGAACAGAUGAGGAGCUUGCUCCUCUGACGUUAGCGGCGGACGGGUGAGUAACACGUGGAUAACCUACCUAUAAGACUGGGAUAACUUCGGGAAACCGGAGCUAAUACCGGAUAAUAUAUUGAACCGCAUGGUUCAAUAGUGAAAGACGGUUUUGCUGUCACUUAUAGAUGGAUCCGCGCCGCAUUAGCUAGUUGGUAAGGUAACGGCUUACCAAGGCAACGAUGCGUAGCCGACCUGAGAGGGUGAUCGGCCACACUGGAACUGAGACACGGUCCAGACUCCUACGGGAGGCAGCAGUAGGGAAUCUUCCGCAAUGGGCGAAAGCCUGACGAAGCAACGCCGCGUGAGUGAUGAAGGUCUUCGGAUCGUAAAACUCUGUUAUUAGGGAAGAACAAAUGUGUAAGUAACUAUGCACGUCUUGACGGUACCUAAUCAGAAAGCCACGGCUAACUACGUG
rnacentral:rRNA from 1 species